GAUCUUCCCAAAAGGAAUCGCCAUGGAAGUGGCAACGAUGUGUGAUGAGAGUGGUGCUGCGGUGGCUACGCGGCGCAGUGGAGGCUGAGCAUCAGAACGUUGGUGAAAUCGAAGCUCGGCCAGUGGAGUCGCGGCGGAUUGUGGUCGGUGGACGACGAGGAGCCUCCGCCGGUGGCAAAAUUUCACCCAAAUAAUCGACGAGCUCUCCCAAGCUGCAAGUCUGCAACGUAACA
rnacentral:misc_RNA from 1 species